AUUCUAAUUUAAAGUUGAAGUUUUCGGUAUUUAAAUUAAAUGUUAUAUUUUAUCAAUGGAAAUUUUCAGAAAAACAGGAAAAAGACCAGAGAAAAGAAAAAAUAAUGCAUUUUGUACCGGAAUGUACAAGAUGUGCAAUCAUACACGGGUUUCUCUUGAAACCGGUAUUAUCGGAACUCUAUGAUCAGAAGUUUUACCUGUGCAAUGAAGUUUAAAAUAAAUAUCUGCAAAGAAAUCAAACACACUGGAGUGCUGUGCUGUUUGGAUUGGUCCAAGAAUGAUGAAAUUUAUACAAUUGGGGAUGACCAGCAGUUGUUUAAAUGGGAUACAAAAACUAGAAGUGAAACUCAGGUGGCCAAAUUACCAGAAGAUUUCUAUCCAAAUGACUUGCAAUGGCUCUGUGGGAAUCGUUCAUCAAAUAAAUCAACUGGUAAUAGCAGUGGUAACAAAGCAAAUGACUCGCUUUUAAUUUGCAGUAAUGAUGGUCGUUUCAUAAUGUUGAAUCGGAGUGCACGAGCUGAACGUAUUGUUAAUGCACACGUUGGAUCCAUAAAUGUUGUACGUUGGAGCCCCGAUGGAACUGGUCUUCUUACUGCGGGAGAAGAUGGAACGAUAAAAGUUUUUUCUAAGCUUGGAAUGCUGAGAUCAACAAUAAUCCAGAAUGAAACACCGGUACGAAUCGCGUGCUGGUCAGCCAAUUCUAUGUCCAUUGCAUACUGCACUGGGUCAUUUAUUGCAAUCAAACCACUGGCAGCAAAUAGUAAAUUAAUCAAAUGGAAAGCUCACUCUGGCAGUGUACUAUGCAUGAGUUGGUCAAACGAGACUCAGAACAUUGCAAGUGGUGGAGAUGAUUGUCAAUAUAAAAUUUGGGACAAUCAAGGCUCAUUGAUUUAUGCCAGCUUUGUGGAAGAUUAUAGCAUCACAUCGGUAGAAUUCGGACCCAAAGGUUUAUAUUUAGCAGUGGGUGGAUUUAAUAUGCUUCGUCUUUGCCACUAUACUGGUUGGGCCUACAGCAAUAUGAAAUUCAGUUCACCACCAAUCGGAUCUGUGUAUAGUAUUCGUUGGUCAAAAGAUGGAUCACAAAUUGCAGCAGGAAGUGGUACAGGUGCAUUGCUAUUUGCUCACAUAAUUGAGGAAGAGAAAGCAAGCCGAAAUCUCAAGGCAAAAACCAUUUCCCGUAAAGAAAUUGAACUGCAAGAUAUUGUGACUCGAACAAUUGAUACCUUAGAUUUUCCUGAUCGAAUAAUCAAAUGGGAAAUUGGGUACGGGUAUUUAGUAGUUGCAACGACGAAUCAAGUACACAUUUAUAAUGAAAAAUAUACAAACACACCUCUUUCUAUUAUCGACGCUCGGCCUGAUGUUAAGGUUUUAAUUCUGGCGAAAAAACAUUUUCUUGUAUUGGACUCUGCUACGGUUUCAAUUUUCACUUAUUCUGGACGUCUGCAUUUAACACCGAAAUUUCCGGGUUUGACAGCUCAGUUGGCUUUGUUAAAUGAGAAAAUUCUCUCAUUAGGUUUACAUUACAUGGCUGUUCGAGAUUGUGGUGAUGAGAGUUUAAUACAUGUAUUCGAUUUGAUUCCUGGCGCAUCACGUCAAAAUGAUAUCACCACAUGUCAUACUAAAACCACCGUUCAACAAAUCGUUGUGAGUCGCGCUGGUGCUAUAAACGAUCAAUACAUGGUAUUUAUUGAUACAAACCGGGAUAUAUUUUGUACAUCUUUAAAAAAUGAUUCAACCUUUGAAAUUCAUAAAAUUGGAACACAAGUAAUUUCUACGAUGUGGGCUAGUGAAGCAAAUAUUUUGGUUGGAUUGCAUGACGCUUCGUACACCAUAUGGUACUGUCCUGGAGAAGCCUGCAUGGAUCCUACCGUAGUAGCUUUGACAAAAUAUACAUUCCAUAUUCCAGAGUUGGGCAAAAACAUAGUCCUGGAGAACUUCGAAGGGAACAUAGUAACAUUGAAAAGCUCCGGUGCUUUAUAUCCCAUACAAGUGCAUUUGUUCUGUGAAACAUUACACAAAUUACUCAACGAUGACUUAUGGGUAAAGGCGUUAUCGUUGUGCCGUCGAAUUCAAGAUUCGAUACUUUGGGCAACGCUCGCAGCAAUCUCAUCAAAGAAGAAUCAACUGGAAAUUGCUGAAGAAGCAUACUCAGCAUCGUUGCAAAUUGAUAAAGUGAAAUACUUGCAACACAUAAAGGUAAGAGGAAUUUGCCACCAAACAGUUAUGAACAAAUGGCCGAAACCUCUGUUAUGAUGGGACGGAGCAAUGAAGCUGAAACGAUUCUAUUGCAUAACAAUAAAGUCAGCGAAGCAAUUCAACUAUGUAUUGUUAGAAUCUCUAUAGUUUGACCAAUGACCAUACAGUUUCAACAGCAAACAGAUUGCUGACAAAAAUUGAGAUUUGGUAGUAGAGAGAUGAGCCGAAGGAUGGAUCAAUAUGUUACCAAUUUACUGUUCACCAACUUUUUGGAAACUUUUCGUCGAUAUUGAAAAACAACAAUCAACAAAUGGUAAAUAAACCGAGUAAAUAGUCGGCUUCUCGAAUGGUGUAAGCGCGCAUCUAUUAAUGGUCAGGCGUGAACAUUGCGGUUGAUGUUUUGAUGUGCAGCAGCCGCCACUGUAGUCGAAUAAUAACAACAUCGGUUCGGCUGUAGCUAGUACAAGCACAAACACGAGCAACAACAACAGUAGCAACAACGUCCAUCGGUACGAAUGCAUAGAUGGGAACGUGCACUCGAUCUUGCUAAAUUGCAUAAAAAAGAGCCGGACUUAGAAUGGAUUUUACAGCAACGCAAAAAUUUAUAUCCAUUUUAACGU